GCGGUCUGUUGCAGCUUGCUGCUGCUUUACCAGUUCUGUCACCUGGUGCUCCACCGCUGUCAGCCUGGAGUCCUGGGUACUCGCGCAGGCCUCUAGUUGGGUGAUCUUCAUCUGGGCCCCUUCUAUGGCUGCUUUAUAGUAAGCCAUAUCUGCUGACAGGUCUUUGCGAAGUUCGGCCAGCAUUUCUUUAAGUUGGCUUGUGGUUACCGGGUCUCCGGGUGUGUUGGUCACUGUGUUGUGUUUU